CCAAGCAUCAAAGUCACUGGAACAUAAAGACCAACAGCUGGAGAAUAAAGAUACAGAACUGAAAAACAGAGAGAAAUUCAUCGAGGAGAAAGACACCCUACUUAAACAAACAAAAACAACACUGGAGAAGAUGAGAAAAGAGCUGGAGAAGACAGAGUUCUACAUGAGACUUUGAAACUGACUUAAACUGAAACUAAAAGAGACACAGAUACAGGAGAUACAAGUGGAGGAAAAGAAGAACAGACUUGUGUAGAAGGAGAAAGAAUUAAAUAAGAAAAAUGAAGAGCUCAAGAUUCUACAAGAACGUUUAGAGACUAAUGAGAAGGUUAAACAAAUAAUCAAAUUCCACAGUAAAUGGUACUGAACAAGUUGAAAAGAAAAUCUCGAAACUGGAGAACAUAAACAAACUGCUGACUGAGAAAGAAACAGCUGAAGAACACAGAUUAAUAGCUGGAAACCAGUAGAAGCACCAAAGCAACAAGGUACUGCUCAAACAGAUAAAUAAAACACUUAAGGAAUUAAAAGUCAGUCAGAAACACAUGGAGAAGAAAAGCACACAACCGGAGAAUAUGAACAAACUGCUGAGUGAGAAAGAAACGCAGAUGGUUGUACAGGAAGAAAAGAAAACUGAGUUAGAAGAAAAAAAUAGAGAGCUUAAAGAGAAAGAGCGACUUCUAACUGAAAGAAAGACACAGCCUAAGGAGAAAGAUAAACUUCCAGAGGAGAAAGCAACACAGCUGCAGGAACAGAAAGAUACAAAAUCAUCAGCCCCCAUUAGGAGAAGCAGUAGCAAGGAAAUAAUACCUCCAAGUUUGAGUGGAGAAACUUAGGGAGAAGUACCGAUCAGUAUGGAUGAAGGUGAUCCUAAAUAGUGCGACUGGAAACCCUAUCCUAAGCAGAGAGGAGAGAAACCAGGAAACAUCUACAGUGCUGUAAACAAGUAGUUGCCCCCCUUCCUGAUUGUUUUUUUUUGUUCUUGUUUGCAUUCUUGUCACAAUUAAAUGAUUUAAUUUAUAAAACAAAUUUUAAUAUCACACACAGAUAAUCCAAGUAAGUACAAAAAGUUGUUUUAAAAUGAUGAUUCCAUUGGUUAAGGGAAAAAGCUGUCCAAACCUGCCUGGCCCUAUUUGAAAAAGUUAUUCCUACUUCAGGAACCACCAAGUUAAAGUUCACUUGCUACUCCCAGGCCUGAUUACUGCCAGACCUGUUGAAAGCAGUCUACAGGAGAGGAGAAAGGGAUGCUUGUGAAAAUGGAAGAGAUCUUUGCAGAAAGCUGUACACAUGAGAAGAAGAACAUUAAGUAGUUUAUCCUAUCAGGAGACCAGGAGGUAGAGGGACUUGUAGAUAAAUGUGGGAUCAGAUUUCACUGUAUCGAUGGUAAAGAAAGUGGAUAUGGGUCUCAGGUCUCAAAGUUGCUGGAGAAAAUAGAAAACAGACAGAAUCUCAGAGAUCCAGGCGCAUGAAGGAGAUGACAGACAACUUGAUGACAGAACAACUCAACUGGAAGAAAGAUACAAAAAGAGAGGGUUGAAGAGAAAAAAACAGAACUUGAGGGGACUGAAACAAGAGGUAGAGUAAAAUACAGAAAUGGACGAUAAUGUGAGGAAUCUAAGAGACAGGAGAGAGAGGGGGAAUAGGUGAGAGAGAUAAAGCGAAAGCAGUAACUGGAGAUGGAGGAGGUCAGGGAGGUGUAUGAAGGGGAGGUCGGGAUGGAGACAGAGAGAUACCUCGUGAAGAAACAGUUUGGCUUAAAGAAAUGCAGGAAAAGUUCAGCAGAAAAAUGGAGGAGAAUCACAGAGAGCUGGAGACUUUAAAAAAAAACUUAAUGUUGGACAGGGCUGGAAAGAGACAUAAAAAUCAAUGCUGGCUUUUUGGUGGCGGUCCAACAGUACAAUCCAGAAUCAGUCCAGCCAGACAACACCUAUGUACAAUGAAUUUUACAAAGUAAUACAUUGAAAAAUAAAUGAGACUAUUUUCUAAGAUCAGUGGAAAGUAGGUUGUUCAGUUAUGCACCAAAA